AUGUUCCCGGCGCUGCACAAACGCGCAGUGAAGAGUGGCAGGGGGGCCCGUUCGCAGGUUGUUCUGACCCAGUCCGGUCCUGAAGUGAAGAAGCCCGGAGAAUCCACCCAGCUGAAAUGCGCCGUGAGCGGGUUUGUCCCUAAUGACUGGUGGAUGGAUUGGGUCAGACAGCUGCCGGGAAAGGGACUGGAGUGGCUGGUUCACUAUCGCCAAUCUUCAGUCACGAAUUACUACUCCCCCUCCAUCCAGGGGCGAUUCACAGCCUCCAAGGACAGCACCAACUUCUACCUGCAAAUGACGAGCCUGAAACCCGAGGACACCGCCAUGUAUUACUGGGCCCACUCGCAGGUGAUUCUGAGACAGUCGGGGCCAGCGCUGACGAAGCCCGGAGAGUCCCAUACGCUGCAAUGUGCCACCAGCGAGUUCACUCCAAGCAGCGCCUGGAUGUGUUGGUUCAUACGGGAGCCCGGGAAGGGGCUGGAGUGGCUGGCCAGGUACUAUGAUCCCUCCAGCCACAGUUACGCCUCCUCCAUGCAGGGGAGAUCUACAGCCUUCAAGGACAGCACCACUUUCUGCUUGUACAUGAACAGCCUGAAAGCCGAGGACACCGCGGUGUAG